CCUACGGGAUGCAGCAGUGGGGAAUAUUGCACAAUGGGCGCAAGCCUGAUGCAGCCAUGCCGCGUGUAUGAAGAAGGCCCUAGGGUUGUAAAGUACUUUCAGUCGGGAGGAAGGCGUUGAUGCUAAUAUCAUCAACGAUUGACGUUACCGACAGAAGAAGCACCGGCUAACUCCGUGCCAGCAGCCGCGGUAAUACGGAGGGUGCAAGCGUUAAUCGGAAUUACUGGGCGUAAAGCGCACGCAGGCGGUUGAUUAAGUUAGAUGUGAAAUCCCCGGGCUUAACCUGGGAAUGGCAUCUAAGACUGGUCAGCUAGAGCCUUGUAGAGGGGGGUAGAAUUCCAUGUGUAGCGGUGAAAUGCGUAGAGAUGUGGAGGAAUACCGGUGGCGAAGGCGGCCCCCUGGACAAAGACUGACGCUCAGGUGCGAAAGCGUGGGGAGCAAACAGGAUUAGAUACCCGUGUAGUC
rnacentral:rRNA from 1 species